UGGGGAAUUUUGGACAAUGGGCGAAAGCCUGAUCCAGCAAUGCCGCGUGUGUGAAGAAGGCCUUCGGGUUGUAAAGCACUUUUGUCCGGAAAGAAAUCCUUGGCUCUAAUACAGUCGGGGGAUGACGGUACCGGAAGAAUAAGCACCGGCUAACUACGUGCCAGCAGCCGCGGUAAUACGUAGGGUGCAAGCGUUAAUCGGAAUUACUGGGCGUAAAGCGUGCGCAGGCGGUUUGCUAAGACCGAUGUGAAAUCCCCGGGCUCAACCUGGGAACUGCAUUGGUGACUGGCAGGCUAGAGUAUGGCAGAGGGGGGUAGAAUUCCACGUGUAGCAGUGAAAUGCGUAGAGAUGUGGAGGAAUACCGAUGGCGAAGGCAGCCCCCUGGGCCAAUACUGACGCUCAUGCACGAAAAGCGUGGGGAGCAAAACAGGAUUAGAUACCCUGGUAGUCCACGCCCUAAAACGAUGUCAACUAGUUGUUGGGGAUUCAUUUCCUUAGUAACGUAGCU
rnacentral:rRNA from 1 species